GGUUAUGAUAUCGUUUAGUACCUUGAGCGUGGCUGAGGUGCACACGUGACCGGCUCGGAAACCAGAUUGCACAGCGGAGAAGGAACGGUGGGAUUCGAGAUGGUCAGUGACCUGUUUGUUGACUUGGCUUUCGAAGACCUUAGAUAGGCAGGGCAGGAUGGAUAUAGGUCUGUAACGACUGCGGCAGCUUUCCAAUCCUUGGGGAUCUCAGACGAUAUGAAACAGAGGUUGAACAGGCUGGAAAUAGGGGUUGCGACAAUGGCGGCGGAUAGUUUCAGAAAUAGAGGGUCCAGAUUGUCAAGCCCAGCUGAUUUGUACGGGUCCAGGUUUUGCAUCUCUUUCAGAACAUCUGCUAUCUGGAUUUGGGUAAAGGAGAACCUGGAGAGGCUUGGGCGAGUAGCUGCGGGGGGGGGGGACGGAGCUGUUGGCCGAGGUUGGAGUAGCCAGGCGGAAGGCAUGGCCAGCCGUUGAGAAAUGCUUGUUGAAGUUUUCAAUAAUCAUGGAUUUAUCGGUGGUGACCAUGUUACCUAGCCUCAGUGCAGUGAGCAGCUGGGAGGAGGUGCUCUUGUUCUCCAUGUACUUCACAGUGUCCCAGAACUUUUUGGAGUUGGAGCUACAGGAUGCAAAUUUCUGCCUGAAGAAGCUGGCCUUAGCUUUCCUGACUGACUGCGUGUAUUGGUUCCUGAUUUCCCUGAACAGUUGCAUAUCGCGGGGACUAUUCGAUGCUAUUGCAGUCCGCCACAGGAUGUUUUUGUGCUGGUCGAGGGCAGUCAGGUCUGGGGUGAACCAAGGACUGUAUCUGUUCUUAGUUCUGCAUUUUUUGAACGGAGCAUGCUUAUCUAAAAUGGUGAGGAAGUUACUUUUAAAGAAUGACCAGGCAUCCUCAACUGACGGGAUGAGGUCAAUGUCCUUCCAGGAUACCCGGGCCAGGUCGAUUAGAAAGGCCUGCUCACAGAAGUGUUUUAGGGAGCGUUUGACAGUGAUGAGGGGUGGUCGUUUGACUGCGGCUCCGUAGCGGAUACAGGCAAUGAGGCAGUGAUCGCUGAGAUCCUGGUUGAAGACAGCGGAGGUGUAUUUGGAGGGCCAGUUGGUCAGGAUGACGUCUAUGAGGGUGCCCUUGUUUACAGAGUUAGGGUUGUACCUGGUGGGUUCCUUGAUGAUUUGUGUGAGAUUGAGGGCAUCUAGCUUAGAUUGUAGGACUGGCGGGGUGUUAAGCAUAUCCCAGUUUAGGUCACCUAACAGAACAAACUCUGAGGCUAGAUGGGGGG
ensembl:lncRNA